rnacentral:rRNA from 1 species
GUCGAGCGAAUGGAUUAAGAGCUUGCUCUUAUGAAGUUAGCGGCGGACGGGUGAGUAACACGUGGGUAACCUGCCCAUAAGACUGGGAUAACUCCGGGAAACCGGGGCUAAUACCGGAUAACAUUUUGAACCGCAUGGUUCGAAAUUGAAAGGCGGCUUCGGCUGUCACUUAUGGAUGGACCCGCGUCGCAUUAGCUAGUUGGUGAGGUAACGGCUCACCAAGGCAACGAUGCGUAGCCGACCUGAGAGGGUGAUCGGCCACACUGGGACUGAGACACGGCCCAGACUCCUACGGGAGGCAGCAGUAGGGAAUCUUCCGCAAUGGACGAAAGUCUGACGGAGCAACGCCGCGUGAGUGAUGAAGGCUUUCGGGUCGUAAAACUCUGUUGUUAGGGAAGAACAAGUGCUAGUUGAAUAAGCUGGCACCUUGACGGUACCUAACCAGAAAGCCACGGCUAACUACGUGCCAGCAGCCGCGGUAAUACGUAGGUGGCAAGCGUUAUCCGGAAUUAUUGGGCGUAAAGCGCGCGCAGGUGGUUUCUUAAGUCUGAUGUGAAAGCCCACGGCUCAACCGUGGAGGGUCAUUGGAAACUGGGAGACUUGAGUGCAGAAGAGGAAAGUGGAAUUCCAUGUGUAGCGGUGAAAUGCGUAGAGAUAUGGAGGAACACCAGUGGCGAAGGCGACUUUCUGGUCUGUAACUGACACUGAGGC